rnacentral:rRNA from 1 species
UGGGGAAUUUUGGACAAUGGGCGCAAGCCUGAUCCAGCCAUGCCGCGUGUCUGAAGAAGGCCUUCGGGUUGUAAAGGACUUUUGUCAGGGAAGAAAAGGCUGUUGCUAAUAUCGACAGCUGAUGACGGUACCUGAAGAAUAAGCACCGGCUAACUACGUGCCAGCAGCCGCGGUAAUACGUAGGGUGCGAGCGUUAAUCGGAAUUACUGGGCGUAAAGCGAGCGCAGACGGUUACUUAAGCAGGAUGUGAAAUCCCCGGGCUCAACCUGGGAACUGCGUUCUGAACUGGGUGACUAGAGUGUGUCAGAGGGAGGUAGAAUUCCACGUGUAGCAGUGAAAUGCGUAGAGAUGUGGAGGAAUACCGAUGGCGAAGGCAGCCUCCUGGGAUAACACUGACGUUCAUGCUCGAAAGCGUGGGUAGCAAACAGGAUUAGAUACCCUGGUAGUCCACGCCCUAAACGAUGUCAAUUAGCUGUUGGGCAACUUGAUUGCUUAGUAGCGUAGCUNACGCGUGAAAUUGACCGCCUGGGGAGUACGGUCGCAAGAUUA